GUUUACAGCCAUACCACCCUGAGUGCACCCAAUCUCUUCUGAUCUCAGAAGCUAAGCAGGACAAGGCCGAGUUAGUAAUUGGACAUGAGAAAUUUUGAAGACAAAAAGA
rnacentral:rRNA from 1 species